UCCAGCAGCCGGCGGUAAUACGUUCCCGGGCCUUGUACACACCGCCCGUCACACCACGAGAGUUUGUAACACCCGAAGUCGGUGGGGUAACCGUAAGGAGCCAGCCGCCUAAGGUGGGACAGAUGAUUGGGGUGAAGUCGUAACAAGGUAGCCGUAUCGGAAGGUGCGGCUGGAUCACCUCCUUUCUAAGGAAAAUGAGGCACACUUGGUUUUUGUUUAGUUUUGAGAGAUCAUUCUGAUCUUUCUUAUAUGUAAGAUACAAAACAUAGGAGUAUAAAUGCUUGCAGCAUUUACAUCACCUGUGCUUUAUGUUCCUUGAAAACUAGAUAACGAUAACAAUUCAAGUAAUUCACUGAGUUUAAACGCUUAGUUUAGUGAUUCUCUUAAUAAUGAUUAAAAUGACAUUUAUAAUGUCAAAGGUUAAGUUGUUAAGGGCGCACGGUGGAUACCUAGGCACACAGAGA
rnacentral:misc_RNA from 1 species